rnacentral:rRNA from 1 species
UACGAAGGGGGCUAGCGUUGCGCGGAAUUACUGGGCGUAAAGGGCGCGUAGGCGGACAGUUUAGUCAGAGGUGAAAGCCCAGGGCUCAACCUUGGAAUUGCCUUUGAUACUGGCUGUCUUGAGUUCGGGAGAGGUGAGUGGAAUGCCGAGUGUAGAGGUGAAAUUCGUAGAUAUUCGGCGGAACACCAGUGGCGAAGGCGACUCACUGGCCCGAUACUGACGCUGAGGCGCGAAAGCGUGGGGAGCAAACAGG